rnacentral:ribozyme from 13 species
AGAGCAACCGCAGGGUAUCUUGUAGAGAUUUCCCAGGAGAGAGAGCAAUAGAGCGGAAAAAACCAUUCAGAGAGGCCACCAAGUGCUUGACAAGCUUUUUCUUGCCUUUUUUUGAAUCUUGUUUUUCAUUUUGUUUUUCAUAAAAUGUAACAGCUUC